AGAAAGACUGAAAAAACUUGGAGAUGCUGAGAGCUGAGAUGCACACCCAGACCUCCCCAUCUCUGCACUCCGUGGUCUGAGCCAGCUCAGGGAGCUUGCAGCAGGGAGAGAAGAGCAGCACAGAAGGGGUCUCUGGGAGUGUGAGCAGGGAGUGGGAAUCACAUCCUGUAGCCACUUGGCCUGCUUCCCAAUACAUCAAAAGGUAUUGACCCUGUGCCUGCCCGUUGAUUCUCCUCAGUCUUCUGGGAACAAGAAGUAACCAACUAUGGAAGCCUGCCUUAGGUCUCUGUGCCUACUGUAUUAUUCUAACACCACUUCACCAUGAAGUGGGGCCACAGCCUGGGAUGCUUUGGUCUUGCGUUUGGACUAUUGUAGUCCUAUGAUGCCUUGGUUGCCU
rnacentral:lncRNA from 1 species